UACAGAGGGUGCAAGCGUUAAUCGGAGUUACUGGGCGUAAAGGGCGCGUAGGCGGUUAUAUAAGUGAGAUGUGAAAUCCCUGGGCUUAACCUAGGAACGGCAUCUUAAACUGUGUAGCUGGAGUACUGUAGAGGGUAGUGGAAUUUCCGGUGUAGCGGUGAAAUGCGUAGAGAUCGGAAGGAACACCAGUGGCGAAGGCGGCUACCUGGACAGAUACUGACGCUGAGGCGCGAAAGCGUGGGGAGCAAACAGG
rnacentral:rRNA from 1 species